CUCCACAGCCCACCAGCCUAAGAGGCCACGGCCUCGCGCCUCUCCCCCAGACUGCGGAAACCCUAAUCCACCUCCACCCACAGCCGCCGCCUCCUCUCCAUCUGUGCUCCCGAUUCAGAUCCAUGCCAAGCCUCCCUCCUUGCGCAGCUGCCGUCCCCUCGAUCUCCCGCGCCGCUGCCCCAACCAUACCCCGCUCCACCUCCGUCUCCCACCCUCUAUCGCUCCUCCACCGCCCCCCACACUCUCCCCCUCUGAAGCCUCUCAGAUCCGCGAUGGGGGCACACACGCCCGUAGCGGCGCUCCCGCAUCCGCGUCAAGGUCAGCCCCUGGCUCGUCGUCAUGGAGGCGGUGGUCAUGAGGAAGGUGGUUGAGGUCGGUGAGAUGGACGUUGUCGCCUACUCGCUGUCCAGGACCAAGGACGGCUGCCCUGAUGCUCCGGUCUUCUUCACAAUCCGCACUAGGAGAGAAGGGGUUGGCCACUGUUUUAUUCAGCACUCUCCUUGGCCAUGUUUGCAUUGCCACAGGUGACCUCGCCGGACCACUUGUUGUGAAGGUAAUUGAGGUAGAACAGAAGAUAUUACACUCGAGUUUAGUUUAGAAGGGUAACUCCACUUGGGAUGGAACAAAUGAUACUACAGGCAAGGAACAACACAGAUUAUAUGUAUGAACUAUCUAGACCUCCAGUGUGAUUGUGAUAUGUAAUUGUAAUCUGUUAUGGUGAUAUGAAUUUUGUAGUUGUAAAUCCGUAUUUGUGCACUAUAUAAUUGUUUUUCUUUGCUAAA